rnacentral:rRNA from 1 species
UUAAGUUAUUAAGGGCGCACGGUGGAUGCCUUGGCACUAGAAGCCGAUGAAGGACGUUACUAACGACGAUAUGCUUUGGGGAGCUGUAAGUAAGCUUUGAUCCAGAGAUUUCCGAAUGGGGAAACCCAGCAUGAGUUAUGUCAUGUUAUCGAUAUGUGAAUACAUAGCAUAUCAGAAGGCACACCCGGAGAACUGAAACAUCUUAGUACCCGGAGGAAGAGAAAGAAAAUUCGAUUCCCUUAGUAGCGGCGAGCGAAACGGGAAGAGCCCAAACCAACAAGCUUGCUUGUUGGGGUUGUAGGACACUCUAUACGGAGUUACAAAGGACGACAUUAGACGAAUCAUCUGGAAAGAUGAAUCAAAGAAGGUAAUAAUCCUGUAGUCGAAAAUGUUGUCUCUCUUGAGUGGAUCCUGAGUACGACGGAGCACGUGAAAUUCCGUCGGAAUCUGGGAGGACCAUCUCCUAAGGCUAAAUACUCUCUAGUGACCGAUAGUGAACCAGUACCGUGAGGGAAAGGUGAAAAGCACCCCGGAAGGGGAGUGAAAUAGAACCUGAAACCGUGUGCUUACAAGUAGUCAGAGCCCGUUAAUGGGUGAUGGCGUGCCUUUUGUAGAAUGAACCGGCGAGUUACGAUUUGAUGCAAGGUUAAGCAGUAAAUGUGGAGCCGUAGCGAAAGCGAGUCUGAAUAGGGCGUUUAGUAUUUGGUCGUAGACCCGAAACCAGGUGAUCUACCCUUGGUCAGGUUGAAGUUCAGGUAACACUGAAUGGAGGACCGAACCGACUUACGUUGAAAAGUGAGCGGAUGAACUGAGGGUAGCGGAGAAAUUCCAAUCGAACCUGGAGAUAGCUGGUUCUCUCCGAAAUAGCUUUAGGGCUAGCCUCAAGUGAUGAUUAUUGGAGGUAGAGCACUGUUUGGACGAGGGGCCCCUCUCGGGUUACCGAAUUCAGACAAACUCCGAAUGCCAAUUAAUUUAACUUGGGAGUCAGAACAUGGGUGAUAAGGUCCGUGUUCGAAAGGGAAACAGCCCAGACCACCAGCUAAGGUCCCAAAAUAUAUGUUAAGUGGAAAAGGAUGUGGCGUUGCCCAGACAACUAGGAUGUUGGCUUAGAAGCAGCCAUCAUUUAAAGAGUGCGUAAUAGCUCACUAGUCGAGUGACACUGCGUCGAAAAUGUACCGGGGCUAAACAUAUUACCGAAGCUGUGGAUUGUCCUUUGGACAAUGGUAGGAGAGCGUUCUAAGGGCGUUGAAGCAUGAUCGUAAGGACAUGUGGAGCGCUUAGAAGUGAGAAUGCCGGUGUGAGUAGCGAAAGACGGGUGAGAAUCCCGUCCACCGAUUGACUAAGGUUUCCAGAGGAAGGCUCGUCCGCUCUGGGUUAGUCGGGUCCUAAGCUGAGGCCGACAGGCGUAGGCGAUGGAUAACAGGUUGAUAUUCCUGUACCACCUAUAAUCGUUUUAAUCGAUGGGGGGGACGCAGUAGGAUAGGCGAAGCGUGCGAUUGGAUUGCACGUCUAAGCAGUAAGGCUGAGUAUUAGGCAAAUCCGGUACUCGUUAAGGCUGAGCUGUGAUGGGGAGAAGACAUUGUGUCUUCGAGUCGUUGAUUUCACACUGCCGAGAAAAGCCUCUAGAUAGAAAAUAGGUGCCCGUACCGCAAACCGACACAGGUAGUCAAGAUGAGAAUUCUAAGGUGAGCGAGCGAACUCUCGUUAAGGAACUCGGCAAAAUGACCCCGUAACUUCGGGAGAAGGGGUGCUCUUUAGGGUUAACGCCCAGAAGAGCCGCAGUGAAUAGGCCCAAGCGACUGUUUAUCAAAAACACAGGUCUCUGCUAAACCGUAAGGUGAUGUAUAGGGGCUGACGCCUGCCCGGUGCUGGAAGGUUAAGAGGAGUGGUUAGCUUCUGCGAAGCUACGAAUCGAAGCCCCAGUAAACGGCGGCCGUAACUAUAACGGUCCUAAGGUAGCGAAAUUCCUUGUCGGGUAAGUUCCGACCCGCACGAAAGGCGUAACGAUUUGGGCACUGUCUCAACGAGAGACUCGGUGAAAUCAUAGUACCUGUGAAGAUGCAGGUUACCCGCGACAGGACGGAAAGACCCCGUGGAGCUUUACUGUAGCCUGAUAUUGAAAUUCGGCACAGCUUGUACAGGAUAGGUAGGAGCCUUUGAAACGUGAGCGCUAGCUUACGUGGAGGCGCUGGUGGGAUACUACCCUAGCUGUGUUGGCUUUCUAACCCGCACCACUUAUCGUGGUGGGAGACAGUGUCAGGCGGGCAGUUUGACUGGGGCGGUCGCCUCCUAAAAGGUAACGGAGGCGCUCAAAGGUUCCCUCAGAAUGGUUGGAAAUCAUUCAUAGAGUGUAAAGGCAUAAGGGAGCUUGACUGCGAGACCUACAAGUCGAGCAGGGUCGAAAGACGGACUUAGUGAUCCGGUGGUUCCGCAUGGAAGGGCCAUCGCUCAACGGAUAAAAGCUACCCCGGGGAUAACAGGCUUAUCUCCCCCAAGAGUUCACAUCGACGGGGAGGUUUGGCACCUCGAUGUCGGCUCAUCGCAUCCUGGGGCUGUAGUCGGUCCCAAGGGUUGGGCUGUUCGCCCAUUAAAGCGGUACGCGAGCUGGGUUCAGAACGUCGUGAGACAGUUCGGUCCCUAUCCGUCGUGGGCGUAGGAAAUUUGAGAGGAGCUGUCCUUAGUACGAGAGGACCGGGAUGGACAUACCUCUGGUGUACCAGUUGUCGUGCCAACGGCAUAGCUGGGUAGCUAUGUGUGGACGGGAUAAGUGCUGAAAGCAUCUAAGCAUGAAGCCCCCCUCAAGAUGAGAUUUCCCAACUUCGGCUAUAAGAUCCCUCAAAGAUGAUGAGGUUAAUAGGUUCGAGGUGGAAGCAUGGUGACAUGUGGAGCUGACGAAUACUAAUCGAUCGAAGACUUAAUCAA